GAAUGAAAUAUAUUGAAAGCUGUAGGAGUAGUUAACGCCUCGGACGAACGGACGGUGAAAGUGGUCAUAAUAGUAAUGGGAACUGUUAUUUGAAACUUUUUAAAAAUUUUUCACUUUUUCAAUUAUAUACGAAACGAUUUGUUUUUCAAAAUAUCGCAGCGGAAUAUCUGUCAGCCUCAAAAACUUCUCAACUUUGCACAUUUAACCGUAAGGAUAAUAAUAAUAAAUAUAGUUUCAAUUUAAGACACCCUGUAGACAAUAACGAGCGGCAAGGUCACUUCCGGUUGACGAGUAUGGACCAAAAUGUAAUCACUUAGUCCCUUCACCAUUUUCUACCUUUGUACUGAAAACAGCAUUGGAAAAUUUGACCGUUCGUGGGUUACCAUUGUGUACAUAGACGGACGGACGGAAAGUCCAAAAUCAUAAAAGAUAAAAGAGCUCGAUAAUACUGCAGUAUGAGUUAGCUUCCGCUAUAUAAUAGGAAGUGGAAUACUUACCAUUUUGGCUGAAAGGGGCUCAUUGACCGGUAAAAAUGUAAGUAUUUGCUUCGAAACCGAAUUGCGUUCGCUUAUACGCGUUAAUUUUUGAAAGUGUCUGAGUACCUAUUUAGAAGUCGCGAGGAAAUGUGAUGAAAUCAAGGGAACUUUCACGGAAGUAUAACUGUGAAGAAAUCAGAGGAACUUCAAGAAGAAUCAGAGAAAUUCCGACGUAUAAUUGUUGGCCAAACUACAGAAAAUUGUUAAUAGUUUGUAGGGUUGCCCUUGUAAGUCAUUUGCUUCAAUAUAGUUCGAGAAGUCACAACAAAAAAAAGAAAAUCGGAGCAUCUGUUCAGGCUCAUAGGGUAAGAGGGCACGCGCCGAGUAGAUUUACAUCUAUUUUUUUUCCUUCAUGGAGAUGAGCUGCUAUUUUGAGUUUGUACCCAGAUCCGCACACUUGAAGCAACAGCAAAUAAGAAUAAAUUAUAGACUUUAUUUCAAA